GGACAUCAUCUGGAUCAAUACACCAAGUAAAACUACCCCGUAUGGCCUGGGCAGCCCUCUGUCUCGCCGUCGCCGCUCUACAGGCCGCUGCGAGUGCCACGGCCCGAAAGACCACACCUGCAACAGCUUCUGUCACAAUAGCUCAGAAAACCCUGCCCUUGUGAUCGUCAGCCCCU